rnacentral:rRNA from 1 species
UACGUAGGGGGCUAGCGUUGUCCGGAUUUAUUGGGCGUAAAGAGCGUGUAGGCGGCCAGGUAGGUCUGGUGUGAAAACUCGAGGCUUAACCUCGAGAUGUCAUCGGAAACCAUUUGGCUAGAGUCCGGAAGAGGAGAGUGGAAUUCCUGGUGUAGCGGUGAAAUGCGCAGAUAUCAGGAGGAACACCAAUUGCGAAGGCAGCUCGCUGGGACGUAACUGACGCUGAGACGCGAAAGCGUGGGGAGCGAACAGG